rnacentral:rRNA from 1 species
GCGGCCACUGCUAUCAAGUUCCGACUAAGCCAUGCGAGUCAAGGUAUCGUAAGAUGCCGGCAAACUGCUCAGUAACACGUGGAUAAUCUAACCUUGAGUAAGGGAUAACUUCGGGAAACUGAAGGUAAUACCUUAUAAUUGCUUAAAACUGGAAUGUUUUUGCAAUAAAAGUUACGACGCUCAAGGAUGAGUCUGCGACCUAUCAGGUAGUAGGUGGUGUAAUGGACCACCUAGCCUCAGACGGGUACGGGCCCUGGGAGGGGUAGCCCGGAGAUGGACUCUGAGACAUAAGUCCAGGCCCUACGGGGCGCAGCAGGCGCGAACACUGUGCAAUGCGCGAAAGCGCGACACGGGGAGCUUGAGUGUCUUGGCAUAGCCAAGACUUUUCUCAUUCCUAAAAAGCAUGAGGAAUAAGUGCUGGGUAAGACGGGUGCCAGCCGCCGCGGUAACACCCGCAGCACGAGUAGUGGUCACUUUUAUUGAGCCUAAAGCGUUCGUAGCCGGUUUUGUAAAUCUUCAGAUAAAGCCUGAAGCUUAACUCCAGAAAGUCUGAAGAGACUGCAAGACUUGAGAUCGGGUGAGGUUAAACGUACUUUCAGGGUAGGGGUAAAAUCCUGUAAUCCCGGAAGGACGACCAGUGGCGAAAGCGUUUAACUAGAACGAAUCUGACGGUAAGGAACGAAGGCUAGGGUAGCAAACCGGAUUAGAUACCCGGGUAGUCCUAGCUGUAAACAUUGCCCAUUUGAUGUUGCCUUUCCGUUGAGGGAAGGCAGUGUCGGAGCGAAGGUGUUAAAUGGGCCGCUUGGGAAGUAUGGUCGCAAGACUGAAACUUAA